AUUGAACGCUGGCGGCAUGCCUUACACAUGCAAGUCGAACGGCAGCACGGGAGCAAUCCUGGUGGCGAGUGGCGAACGGGUGAGUAAAGUAUCGGAACGUGCCCAGUCGUGGGGGAUAACGUAGCGAAAGUUACGGUAAUACCGCAUACGAUCUACGGAUGAAAGCGGGGGAUCGCAAGACCUCGCGCGAUUGGCGCGGCCGAUAUCAGAUUAGGUAGUUGGUGGGGUAAAGGCUCACCAAGCCGACGAUCUGUAGCUGGUCUGAGAGGACGACCAGCCACCCUGGGCAUGGGACACGGCCCAGACUCGUACGGAAGGCAGCGGUGGGGAGUUGUGGACAAUGGGCGCAAGCCUGAAUCAGCCAUGCCGCGUGCAGGAUGAAGGCCUUCGGGUUGUAAGCUGCUUUUGUACGGAACGAAAAGGUUUGGCUUAAUACGUUGAACUCAUGACGGUACCGUAAGAAUAAGCACCGGCUAACUACGUGCCAGCAGCCGCCGUAA
rnacentral:rRNA from 1 species